rnacentral:rRNA from 1 species
GAUGAACGCUGGCGGCGUGCUUAACACAUGCAAGUCGAACGGUGAAGCAGGAGCUUGCUCUUGCGGAUCAGUGGCGAACGGGUGAGUAACACGUGAGCAACCUGCCCCUGACUCUGGGAUAAGCGCUGGAAACGGCGUCUAAUACUGGAUAUGUGAUGUGACCGCAUGGUCUGCAUCUGGAAAGAAUUUCGGUUGGGGAUGGGCUCGCGGCCUAUCAGCUUGUUGGUGAGGUAAUGGCUCACCAAGGCGUCGACGGGUAGCCGGCCUGAGAGGGUGACCGGCCACACUGGGACUGAGACACGGCCCAGACUCCUACGGGAGGCAGCAGUGGGGAAUAUUGCACAAUGGGCGGAAGCCUGAUGCAGCAACGCCGCGUGAGGGAUGACGGCCUUCGGGUUGUAAACUUCUUUUAGCAGGGAAGAAGCGAAAGUGACGGUACCCGCAGAAAAAGCACCGGCUAACUACGUGCCAGCAGCCGCGGUAA